UGAGUUGGAGCCCAGACAUU
rnacentral:misc_RNA from 1 species